rnacentral:misc_RNA from 1 species
AGUCAUCAACCCCUCCCGUUUCGUGCGGUUCGGGUUGGAUCUGGGGGCUUGCGGCCGCAUAGGCCGCUCCCCUCAAAUGCAUCGGUUGGGCCUGUGGGUCGAACUCGACUGGGCGUUGUACCAUCCUCGCUCUCCCGAGAUGUUCCCCUCCCGUGCCCUCCCACGACCUGCCUCUGGAGCGGCGGUCAAGCUAAACUUUGAAAU